UCACCUCUCAAGCUCCCCGGCUUGGUGUUGGACGGUUUAGCCUUGGCAACAAGGCCCGUUUUAAAGUCAAUGACGGCGGCCUGUUCGACCCCCGGUACACCGAGCUUUUUAACUGAGCACGUAUCGGUUGAAUGCAUGCACGGCUGUCGUGGCAAGGGAAGCGAUUCCGUUGGUGGCAGCCUCCAUCCGUG
rnacentral:misc_RNA from 1 species